rnacentral:rRNA from 1 species
AGAGCGAACGCUGGCGGCAGGCUUAACACAUGCAAGUCGAGCGGGCGGUAGCAAUACGUCAGCGGCAGACGGGUGAGUAACGCGUGGGAACAUACCUUUUGGUUCGGAACAACACAGGGAAACUUGUGCUAAUACCGGAUAAGCCCUUACGGGGAAAGAUUUAUCGCCGAAAGAUUGGCCCGCGUCUGAUUAGCUAGUUGGUGAGGUAACGGCUCACCAAGGCGACGAUCAGUAGCUGGUCUGAGAGGAUGAUCAGCCACAUUGGGACUGAGACACGGCCCAAACUCCUACGGGAGGCAGCAGUGGGGAAUAUUGGACAAUGGGCGCAAGCCUGAUCCAGCCAUGCCGCGUGAGUGAUGAAGGCCCUAGGGUUGUAAAGCUCUUUUGUGCGGGAAGAUAAUGACGGUACCGCAAGAAUAAGCCCCGGCUAACUUCGUGCCAGCAGCCGC